GCAGCUAUAGUGUAGCUUGGUAGCAUGCAAGCCUGUGGAGCUUUCGGGUCGGGUUCAAAUCCCGAUAGCUGCC
rnacentral:tRNA from 1 species